rfam:Canis lupus familiaris chromosome 4, whole genome shotgun sequence.
CGGAGGAGGCCGGAUCCUGGGCUGUGUCCCGGCGCCCUGUGCUCCGGAGCCUGCGCUGUUGGAUUCGCGCUCCCGGGCCGCGCAGCCCCCU